rnacentral:rRNA from 1 species
CCUACGGGUGGCAGCAGUGGGGAAUAUUGGGCAAUGGGCGCAAGCCUGACCCAGCAACGCCGCGUGAAGGAAGAAGGCUUUAGGGUUGUAAACUUCUUUUCUGAGGGACGAAGAAAGUGACGGUACCUCAGGAAUAAGCCACGGCUAACUACGUGCCAGCAGCCGCGGUAAUACGUAGGUGGCAAGCGUUAUCCGGAUUUAUUGGGUGUAAAGGGCGUGUAGGCGGGAAAGCAAGUCAGAUGUGAAAACUCAGGGCUCAACCCUGAGACUGCAUUUGAUACUGUUUUUCUUGAGUUCUGGGGAGGCAAUCGGAAUUCGGGGUGUAGCGGUGAAAUGCGUAGAUAUACGGAGGAACACCAGUGGCGAAGGCGGAUUGCUGGACAGUAACUGACGCUGAGGCGCGAAAGCGUGGGGAGCAAACAGGAUUAGAUACCCGAGUAGUC